UCAACCCUCAAGCAUUGCUUGGUGUUGGGGCACUGCCUGUAAAAGGGCAGGCCCUGAAAUCUAGUGGCGAGCUCGCUAGGACCCCGAGCGCAGUAGUUAAACCCUCGCUCUGGAAGGCCCUGGCGGUGCCCUGCCGUUAAACCCCCAACUUCUGAAAA
rnacentral:misc_RNA from 1 species